rnacentral:misc_RNA from 1 species
ACACCUCACCCCCUCGGGUUUCCGAUCGGGUGGAUUUGGGCGCUGCCAGUCAAAUGGCUCGCCUUAAAUGCAUUAGCGGUUGUUGACGUAAUAAGUUUCGUCUGUAUGCCGCUGACAAUAUCCUUCGGGAUGUCUCUGAGACAAUUCAUG